GUGAUAUUCAAGUUUCAUGUUUUACUAAAUAGAAUUCAAUUUCCCUUAAGUUUGGAGAAUAAUGUUUUUCAUGAUUUUCAUCUGAAAUAUUGCAACACAUUGAGGUUGGAGGCCAUCACAUUUGCAUAUUGGAAUUCUUACUGUGACUAAUAUUUUGGAUCAUUCUCGCCAUAAUCCCUUGAUAUUUCUGCAGGGACAUUUGGGCAAGUCUUGG
rnacentral:misc_RNA from 1 species